rnacentral:rRNA from 1 species
GAUGAACGCUGGCGGCGUGCCUAAUACAUGCAAGUCGAGCGAACAGACGAGGAGCUUGCUCCUCUGACGUUAGCGGCGGACGGGUGAGUAACACGUGGAUAACCUACCUAUAAGACUGGGAUAACUUCGGGAAACCGGAGCUAAUACCGGAUAAUAUAUUGAACCGCAUGGUUCAAUAGUGAAAGACGGUUUUGCUGUCACUUAUAGAUGGAUCCGCGCCGCAUUAGCUAGUUGGUAAGGUAACGGCUUACCCAGGCAACGAUGCGUAGCCGACCUGAGAGGGUGAUCGGCCACACUGGAACUGAGGCACGGUCCAGACUCCUGCGGGAGGCAGCAGUAGGGAAUCUUCCGCAAUGGGCGAGAGCUUGACGGAGCAACGCCGCGGGAGUGAUGAAGGUCUUCGGAUCGUAAAACUCUGUUAUUAGGGAAGAACAAAUGUGUAAUUAACUAUGCACGUCUUGACGGUACCUAAUCAGAAAGCCACGGCUAACUACGUG